rnacentral:tRNA from 2 species
GCAGCCGUGGCCGAGUGGUUAAGGCGAUGGACUAGAAAUCCACUGGGGUCUCCCCGCACAGGUUCGGAUCCUGUCGAGUGCA